AGCGAACGCUGGCGGCAGGCCUAACACAUGCAAGUCGAGCGCCCGUAGCAAUACGGGAGCGGCAGACGGGUGAGUAACACGUGGGAACGUACCCUUCGGUUCGGAAUAACCCAGGGAAACUUGGACUAAUACCGAAUACGUCCGUAAGGAGAAAGAUUUAUCGCCGAAGGAUCGGCCCGCGUCCGAUUAGCUAGUUGGUGGGGUAAUGGCCCACCAAGGCUACGAUCGGUAGCUGGUCUGAGAGGAUGAUCAGCCACACUGGGACUGAGACACGGCCCAGACUCCUACGGGAGGCAGCAGUGGGGAAUAUUGGACAAUGGGCGCAAGCCUGAUCCAGCCAUGCCGCGUGGGUGAUGAAGGCCCUAGGGUUGUAAAGCCCUUUCGGCGGGAAGAUAAUGACGGUACCCGCAGAAGAAGCCCCGGCUAACUUCGUGCCAGCCGCCGCAGUAAC
rnacentral:rRNA from 1 species